rnacentral:rRNA from 1 species
AUUGAACGCUGGCGGCAGGCCUAACACAUGCAAGUCGAGCGGAUGAAGGGAGCUUGCUCCUGGAUUCAGCGGCGGACGGGUGAGUAAUGCCUAGGAAUCUGCCUGGUAGUGGGGGAUAACGUCCGGAAACGGGCGCUAAUACCGCAUACGUCCUGAGGGAGAAAGUGGGGGAUCUUCGGACCUCACGCUAUCAGAUGAGCCUAGGUCGGAUUAGCUAGUUGGUGGGGUAAAGGCCUACCAAGGCGACGAUCCGUAACUGGUCUGAGAGGAUGAUCAGUCACACUGGAACUGAGACACGGUCCAGACUCCUACGGGAGGCAGCAGUGGGGAAUAUUGGACAAUGGGCGAAAGCCUGAUCCAGCCAUGCCGCGUGUGUGAAGAAGGUCUUCGGAUUGUAAAGCACUUUAAGUUGGGAGGAAGGGCAGUAAGUUAAUAACUGGCUGUUUUGACGUUACCAAAAGAAUAAGCACCGGCUAACUUCGUG